GGCUAUGUUACUUUGAUUACGCCGGUUCUCAUUCGAUUUACGAAGCUAAGCAACGCUAGGUCUGGCUAGUACUUAGACGGGUAACCGCUUGGGAAUAACAGGUUAGCGU